AUUGAACGCUGGCGGCAGGCUUAACACAUGCAAGUCGAGCGAGCGGCGGACGGGUGAGUAAUGUCUGGGAAACUGCCUGAUGGAGGGGGAUAACUACUGGAAACGGUAGCUAAUACCGCAUACCAUCAGAUGUGCCCAGAUGGGAUUAGCUAGGAGGUGGGGUAAUGGAUCACCUAGGCUACGAUCCCUAGCUGGUCUGAGAGGAUGACUGGCAACACUGCAACUGAGCCACGGUCCAAGCUCCGACGGGAGGCAGCAGUGGGGAAUAUUGGACAAUGGGCGCAAGCCUGAUGCAGCCAUGCCGCGUGUGUGAAGAAGGCCUUCGGGUUGUAAAGCACUUUCCGCGAGGAGGCGUUACUCGCAGAAGAAGCACCGGCUAACUCCGUGCCAGCAGCCGCGGUAAUAC
rnacentral:rRNA from 1 species